rnacentral:rRNA from 1 species
CACGAGCGCACCCUCGCCUUUAGUUGCCAUCAUGUUGGGUGGGCACUCUAGAGGAACUGCCGGUGACAAGCCGGAGGAAGGUGGGGAUGACGUCAAGUCCUCAUGGCCCUUAUGUCCUGGGCUACACACGUGCUACAAUGGCGGUGACAGUGGGAAGCCACGCCGCGAGGCUGAGCUGAUCUCUAAAAGCCGUCUCAGUUCGGAUUGCACUCUGCAACUCGGGUGCAUGAAGGUGGAAUCGCUAGUAAUCGCGGAUCAGCAUGCCGCGGUGAAUACGUUCCCGGGCCUUGUACACACCGCCCGU